rnacentral:rRNA from 1 species
GUGCCAGCAGCCGCGGUAAUACGAAGGUCCCAAGCGUUAUCCGGAUUUAUUGGGUUUAAAGGGUGCGUAGGCGGACUAUUAAGUCAGUGGUGAAAUCCUGCAGCCUAACUGUAGAAUUGCCAUUGAUACUGAUGGUCUUGAGUACAUUUGAAGUGGGCGGAAUGUGUCAUGUAGCGGUGAAAUGCUUAGAUAUGACACAGAACACCGAUUGCGUAGGCAGCUCGCUAAACUGUAACUGACGCUGAGGCACGAAAGCGUGGGGAGCAAACAGGAUUAGAUACCCUGGUAGUCC